GACGAACGCUGGCGGCGUGCUUAACACAUGCAAGUCGAACGGAAAGGCCCUGCUUUUGUGGGGUGCUCGAGUGGCGAACGGGUGAGUAACACGUGAGUAACCUGCCCUUGACUUUGGGAUAACUUCAGGAAACUGGGGCUAAUACCGGAUAGGAGCUCCUGCUGCAUGGUGGGGGUUGGAAAGUUUCGGCGGUUGGGGAUGGACUCGCGGCUUAUCAGCUUGUUGGUGGGGUAGUGGCUUACCAAGGCUUUGACGGGUAGGCGGCCUGAGAGGGUGACCGGCCACAUUGGGACUGAGAUACGGCCCAGACGCCUACGGGAGGCAGCAGUGGGGAAUAUUGCACAAUGGGCGGAAGCCUGAUGCAGCAACGCCGCGUGCGGGAUGACGGCCUUCGGGUUGUAAACCGCUUUCGCCUGUGACGAAGCGGGAGUGACGGUAAUGGGUAAAGAAGCACCGGCUAACUACGUG
rnacentral:rRNA from 1 species